GACGAACGCUGGCGGCGUGCUUAACACAUGCAAGUCGAACGGAAAGGCCCUGCUUUUGUGGGGUGCUCGAGUGGCGAACGGGUGAGUAACACGUGAGUAACCUGCCCUUGACUUUGGGAUAACUUCAGGAAACUGGGGCUAAUACCGGAUAGGAGCUCCUGCUGCAUGGUGGGGGUUGGAAAGUUUCGGCGGUUGGGGAUGGACUCGCGGCUUAUCAGCUUGUUGGUGGGGUAGUGGCUUACCAAGGCUUUGACGGGUAGCCGGCCUGAGAGGGUGACCGGCCACAUUGGGACUGAGAUACGGCCCAGACUCCGACGGGAGGCAGCAGUGGGGAAUAUGGCACAAUGGGCGGAAGCCUGAUGCAGCAACGCCGCGUGCGGGAUGACGGCCUUCGGGUUGUAAACCGCUUUCGCCUGUGACGAAGCGUGAGUGACGGUAAUGGGUAAAGAAGCACCGGCUAACUACGUG
rnacentral:rRNA from 1 species